AACGUAGGUUCCGAGCGUUAUCCGGAUUUACUGGGCGUAAAGCGCGUUCAGGCGGUUUGGCAAGUCGGGCAUGAAAUCUCUCGGCUCAACCGGGAGAGGUUGUCCGAUACUGCUGGACUUGAAGGCAGGAGAGGGAAGCGGAAUUCCCGGUGUAGUGGUGAAAUGCGUAGAUAUCGGGAGGAACACCAGUGGCGAAGGCGGCUUCCUGGCCUGUUCUUGACGCUGAGGCGCGAAAGCUAGGGGAGCAAACGGG
rnacentral:rRNA from 1 species